AAGAAGCUUCUAAGCAACGUAAGCUUUUGGGGGCGCUUUACCCAGAUGGCUUAUUUUCGAGGUUUGCAGAAAAGCGCUGUCAUCUUUCUCUUCUGAGGGGGGGAAAAGAUGUGUGUGGCAGGAGGACCAGGCGGGCUAAAAGUUCUGCCUGUUUAAGCCUGGUGGUUUCAGUCUGGUUUGAGUAUGGUUUGUUCCAUAUUGAAAUGGCUGUGACCAACUGAUCUUGGAUCUUCUGCCCCCAGCUCACAGCUGAAUCCCAUUUCAUGAAAGAUCUGGGUUUGGACAGUUUGGACCAAGUGGAGAUCAUCAUGGCUAUGGAAGACGAAUUUGGAUUUGAAAUUCCUGAUGCAGAUGCAGAAAAGUUAAUGUGUCCACAGGAGAUUGUAGAUUACAUUGCAGAUAAGAAGGAUGUUUAUGAAUAAAAACAGUUCUUCAAAGCAAAGAUUGAAGCGUGACAGGUCAGUGGGGGAGCUAUGUCCAUUUGCUGCUAUCUCUGUGCCAAGAAUAGAUGGAAUAAAGGAGAUGUCUCUACCACUACGACUGGGCAGAUGUCAGCAGAUAUGAAUAUAAGCGCACAUGCUGUACUGUUGCUGCUUUCAUUAGAAAGUUGUACUGGAAAGUUGUAUUGGACAUUGUAUUUAAAGUUGUCUGAAUAUGUUGACCUUUAAAAACAGGGAGAAAAAAAGGAAUAAAUAUACAAGACCAGUGUUGCGUUGAUGGCCU
rnacentral:lncRNA from 1 species